GACGAACUCUGGCGGCGUGCUUAACACAUGCAAGUCGAACGGAAAGGCCCUGCUUUUGUGGGGUGCUCGAGUGGCGAACGGGUGAGUAACACGUGAGUAACCUGCCCUUGACUUUGGGAUAACUUCAGGAAACUGGGGCUAAUACCGGAUAGGAGCUCCUGCUGCAUGGUGGGGGUUGGAAAGUUUCGGCGGUUGGGGAUGGACUCGCGGCUUAUCAGCUUGUUGGUGGGGUAGUGGCUUACCAAGGCUUUGACGGGUAGCCGGCCUGAGAGGGUGACCGGCCACAUUGGGACUGAGAUACGGCCCAGACUCCUACGGGAGGCAGCAGUGGGGAAUAUUGCACAAUGGGCGGAAGCCUGAUGCAGCAACGCCGCGUGCGGGAUGACGGCCUUCGGGUUGUAAACCGCUUUCGCCUGUGACGAAGCGUGAGUGACGGUAAUGGGUAAAGAAGCACCGGCUAACUACGUGCCAGCAGCCGCGGUGAUACGUAGGGUGCGAGCGUUGUCCGGAUUUAUUGGGCGUAAAGGGCUCGUAGGUGGUUGAUCGCGUCGGAAGUGUAAUCUUGGGGCUUAACCCUGAGCGUGCUUUCGAUACGGGUUGACUUGAGGAAGGUAGGGGAGAAUGGAAUUCCUGGUGGAGCGGUGGAAUGCGCAGAUAUCAGAAGGAACACCAGUGGCGAAGGCGGUUCUCUGGGCCUUUCCUGACGCUGAGGAGCGAAAGCGUGGGGAGCGAACAGGCUUAGAUACCCUGGUAGUCCACGCUGUAAACGGUGGGUACUAGGUGUGGGGUCCAUUCCACGGGUUCCGUGCCGUAGCUAACGCUUUAAGUACCCCGCCUGGGGAGUACGGCCGCAAGGCUAAAACUCAAAGGAAUUGACGGGGCCCCGCACAAGCGGCGGAGCAUGCGGAUUAAUUCGAUGCAACGCGUAGAACCUUACCUGGGUUUGACAUGGAUCGGGAGUGCUCAGAGAUGGGUGUGCCUCUUUUGGGGUCGGUUCACAGGUGGUGCAUGGCUGUCGUCAGCUCGUGUCGUGAGAUGUUGGGUUAAGUCCCGCAACGAGCGCAACCCUUGUUCACUGUUGCCAGCACGUUAUGGUGGGGACUCAGUGGAGACCGCCGGGGUCAACUCGGAGGAAGGUGGGGAUGACGUCAAGUCAUCAUGCCCCUUAUGUCCAGGGCUUCACGCAUGCUACAAUGGCUGGUACAGAGAGUGGCGAGCCUGUGAGGGUGAGCGAAUCUCGGAAAGCCGGUCUCAGUUCGGAUUGGGGUCUGCAACUCGACCUCAUGAAGUCGGAGUCGCUAGUAAUCGCAGAUCAGCAACGCUGCGGUGAAUACGUUCCCGGG
rnacentral:rRNA from 1 species